CAGAUAUAUAUUCAGGAGUGGAAUUGCUGGAUCAUAUGGUAAUUCUAUUUUAGUUUCUUGAAAAGUUUCCACACUGUUUCUCAUACUGGUCUCACCAAUCUACAAUCUCAUCAACAAGUGAUUUUCUGAAUGAAGUCAAUGGAGUUGAAAGGAGAAACCAUUGGUCCUGAACACAUGUCAAAGGGCAGAACAAGAGCCUGAUUUCCAGAGCUUCACAAUGAAUGGUGGUUGAUGGGUUACAGAGAAGUGUCUCUGCAUCUGAGGGAAGACCCAGUCAAGCUUGUGAUGAUGGGACUUCAGAUAGUGACCAGAGCCUCUGAAGACCAUCUCUGCCUGCCAGAAACCUACUAAGCAUAUAACAGUGGAUUGUUGUUUUCCUGUAAUAAUAAUAAUAACUUUCCUUAA